CUUAUUUUUUUAUUUUUAUUUUUUUAUUUCAUACCUUUUUUAAAACAGUUCACAGCAACAGGGUACUUUAAAUGAAAAUAAUAAUCUUACAAGCGAGCGAAAAAUUUGUUACUUAAAAAUUGACUACCGUGAUAUGUCCUCCGAAUAUGACCUCAAUGACAUUAUAAAAAAAAUAAGAAACACGUACAGUGUCGAUGACGACAAAAAGGAUCUUGAUAUAAAAGAAGACAAUAUGAAUAAUAUGAAAAAAGGCGUGCUUUAUAUGGCUUAUUAUGAAGAUAAUACCUUUUUUGUUAAUAAAUUAGAAAAGUUAAAAAAAAAAAAUAAAUAAAUAAACAUAAAAACAUAAACAUAAAAACAUAUGAACAUACACAUACAUAUAUAUUAACGACAAACGCGAAUUAAUCAAAUCGUAAAAAAAUUUUAUCUGUGUUAUGUAUAUAUAUUAUAUAUAUUAUAUAUAUACAUUAUAUACAUUAUAUACAUUAUAUACAUUAUAUACAUUAUAUAUAUGUAUAUGUCCCCAUUUAAAAGACAUAAUUGUUUUAUAAUCGUGAAUGUUUUUUUUUUUUUUUUUUCCUUUUUUAUUUGCAGAAAAAUAAGUAAAUAUAUGUAAAAGUUGUAUACUUAUAUGGAAAAACUUUUGGACGUGAAAAAAAAAGAAACAAUCAAACUAAUUUCAAAUGAUAUGAAAUUACAUAGAAAGUAUUAUGAAUGUAAAAACGAAUGAAUGACAAAAAGAGGAUAAGCUGUGAUCUAUGCAUUAAAAAAAAAAAAAAAAUAAAAAAAAAAAAAAAAAAAUAGUACGUAUAUAG
rnacentral:lncRNA from 1 species